UAAGUUCUACACCCAACGUGGAGCUUGAGCUCCGAACCCUAAGAUCAGAGUUGCACGCUCUACCACCCGAGCCAGCCAGGCGCCUGCUCAUCUGGAGCUUCGUGAGAGUCACAGAGCGCACUGCACAUCUACCACGGGAGGUGGUGGAGAAACAGUUUACGACCACCUUUGCAAGACUUCAAGAUCUUGGUUGGAAGGACGCCUGGGUGGCUCAGUGGUUUGGCACCCACCUUCAGCCCAGGGUGUGAGUCUGGAGACCCAGGAUCGAGUCCCACAUUGGGCUCCCUGCAUGGAGCCUGCUUCUCCCUGUGUCUCUGCCUGUGUGUGUGUGUGUGUGUGUGUGUGUGUGUGUCUGAUGAAUAAAUAAAUAAAAUCUUUUUUUUAAUUUUUUUUAAUUUUUAUUUUUUUAUGAUAGUCACAGAGAGAGAAAGAGAGAGAGGCAGAGACAUAGGCAGAGGGAGAAGCAGGCUCCAUGCACUGGGAGCCCGAUGUGGGAUUCGAUCCGGGGUCUCCAGGAUCGCGCCCUGGGCCAAAGGCAGGUGCCAAACCGCUGCGCCACCCAGGGAUCCUAAAAUCUUUUUUUAAAAAAAGAUCUUGGUUGGAGAACAUUCCUGUUGGGGCUUAAGGUGGCAGGAACAGCUUGGGAAUUGGGGCCUGAGAAGUAGAGGCAAAGUGUUGUUUCAACAGUGGCCUGCAUCCCCGCAUCUGACUGGUACGUACUGAUACCUUCCUCUGACGUUACAACCUUAUAGCCUGGUAAGCCUGUGAAGCCUUCUGGGGUCUCCCAAACCCAGGGUUCCGGGACCCGAGGAGCGAACCCCAGCAGCCCAAAGGCAAACCCAAGCAGAAACCCCGGGCUUCCCUUCUCCCACUCCUCCCAGCCCUUGAACUGCAUCCCAAACCGCAGGGGUGAUGACUUAGCACCGCACCCAGGCCCUGGGCCGAGGAGCGCCUCUGAGGAGGGUGGAGGGCAAGCUGAGUGGGCCCCACAGAAAGAGCUUCCUUUCAUAAGCGGAGCUGGCGUGGCGGGAAGUGAGAGGACCGAGGCCCGGCUGGCGCUGGGGAACAAGGAGGGAAUGUCUGGGCUCCAGGCACCACCCACAAGGAGCCUGAGGGGCCGUCUUUGUGUCAGGCCUCCCAGGGGCCCCCUCCCACCCCAUCGGAGCAGGGCUGAGCCACUGCCAGACAGCAGGGGAGCCAGAAGGAAAAGGCGGUCCAGGCCCUUGACCCAACCCCACGACAGAAGUGCCCUUGACACAAAGAUGAUGAACCAAGUCCUCUGCCAAUCACGAGUUCCCUGGGACGUCUGUGAGGAUGAAAAUCCAGCCUUUAGCUCCCUGGAGGCCUACUCGGAGUCCUAA
rnacentral:lncRNA from 12 species